rnacentral:snRNA from 1 species
AUCGCUUCUCGGCCUUUUGGCUAAGAUCAAGUGUAUUAGUCUUUUUAUAUAUAUAUAUAAAUUGAAUUUUGGGAAAUAUUAACGGUGCUGCCAACUUUGGAAAAAGUCAUCCCAAUUUACUGUGUUGAGUUGGCAUUGU